UGCCAAUGUGCUGAAGGCCAUGCUCGUAGGUUUUUCUUAACUCCUCAAGAUGUUAGCACUUUCCAAUUCGGUGCAGAAUCAAUGUUGUUUGUUGUUCUAUUUGGUGCAGGAUCAAUGUUGUUUGUUGUUCUGUUCCAUGAUUCCCGCGAUUUUUUUGUUUCAUCAAAGGUGGUGUGGCUAUGAUACUAAGGGAGACUGUGUGGCGGUGUUUCAGGUUCGAGAUCAUUCAGUAGUGCCUCAUCAAGAAAGUGUGCUCUGUUCUUGGCUUUAAGAGAUUAGCUUCAAGAGAGCAAAUGAAUAUGACGAUCACUGAAUGACAGGUCGGUCUUUCUGGAUCGGAAGGAAUUUUUUUUAGCUUGGCCUUUGAGUUUCAUAAAUUCAGAAUAAGUUCCUACACCUGUCGUAACUGGACAAAUCAUGCAUGCACGGCUCAGGAAUGAGGACUCUAAAAUGGAUGGAGGAGGAGCUAUAGUUCAGCAGCCAAAUACAGCAGGCAUGCACAACUAUAUCAUAUUACAGUACUUAAUGGAAGCACUUUUCUUUAACUUUCUUCCAUGAUUUUCAUUAUGUGAAUUUGAUUACUAUGAUGCCAGGUAACUUGACUAUUCAGUAUCUUUAUUUGAGGUCUACACCUAAUAAUUUUCUUUCUAAAGAACACCUCUGAAGUUUCAUUACACAUGGGAUGAAUCACUAGAAACUCGAGUAUUUAGUGUUU